rnacentral:rRNA from 1 species
GACGAACUGUCCAAACGUUGUUCGGGAUCACUGGGCUUAAAGGGCGCGUAGGCGGUCCGACAAGUCAGGGGUGAAAUCCUGCAGCUUAACUGCAGAAGUGCCUUUGAUACUGUCGGUCUGGAGGGAGAUAGGGGUGUGCGGAACUUCCAGUGGAGCGGUGAAAUGCGUUGAUAUCAUCAGGAAUACCGGAGGCGAAGGCGGCUCACUGGGUCUUUUCUGACGCUGAGGAACGAAAGCUAGGGGAGCAAACGGG